UUAAAACUAAUAAAUAAAAUGCAACGUAGUAGCUUGGCAGCACCGUGCAGCUGUGACAACAAACUUCUUCUUAUUUAACGUCACUCUCCAUGUUCUCUCCAAGUGAUGAAAGUCUCCUCUAAAGCAUAUGGCGGCUCUCUCCCCGAGACCUUAUUCUCCUAUUAGUAUAUCAUGCUCCUCUUUCUCUUCCCUGACCCUUUUGCUACCAAAGAGAAAGUCAAGAUGUUGUCCGUGUGUCCCCAGCUGACGUUCCAGCCCAUUCGCUUUCAACCUAAUGGACCGUGUGUGGGCUUUCUUUUCUCUGUUGGACCGUGACAACACUUCCUCCACAUGCCAUGACAAUUAAAUGGAAUCAGCUGCUGCAUGUACAGGCCGUGGUGCACCUUUUCGUUUCUGGACCAGCUACUGAUUGUCACAUGAAGCCCGCUGUUACGGUAUAAAUUUACUGGGACCGGAGUACUAACCUUAAUGACGUCUUCUUCUGUGCUUCUGCCCGCUUUUCGUGAUUUCUGACCGUACGCCUUCUCGUCGACUUCAGCCGUCCGGUGAUCUUCUAGCUUUGACGGAGGGGGGAGGUACCUGAAAAGGCACUCCGACGCUCAAGUUAGGCGUGUAUAAGAGAUUCUCUGUUGGAANAGAACUGAUGGGAGAUAUGUUGUAUGCAGUGUGAGUGAAGUGUAUUCAGAGAGCGUACCUCGUUUGGAAUCCUCUGGCCUUUAUUUAUAGGUUUUGGAUUGAUAUAAUAUUAACAGUAAUAUAAACAGAAUAAAAUAUAAUCUUACUUGACAUAUCUCUGUUAUAAUAUCUUUAUAAGAUAUAUCCGGCG
rnacentral:lncRNA from 1 species